rnacentral:rRNA from 1 species
GACGAACGCUGGCGGCGUGCCUAAUACAUGCAAGUCGAGCGAAGUUUUUCUGGUGCUUGCACCGGAAAAACUUAGCGGCGAACGGGUAAGUAACACGUAAAGAACCUGCCUCAUAGACUGGGACAACUAUUGGAAACGAUAGCUAAUACCGGAUAACAGCAUUAACUGCAUGGUUGAUGUUUAAAAGUUGGUUUUGCUAACACUAUGAGAUGGCUUUGCGGUGCAUUAGCUAGUUGGUGGGGUAAAGGCCUACCAAGGCGACGAUGCAUAGCCGACCUGAGAGGGUGAUCGGCCACACUGGGACUGAGACACGGCCCAGACUCCUACGGGAGGCAGCAGUAGGGAAUCUUCCGCAAUGGGCGAAAGCCUGACGGAGCAACGCCGCGUGAGUGAAGAAGGAUUUCGGUUCGUAAAGCUCUGUUGUUAGGGAAGAAUGAUUGUGUAGUAACGAUACACAGUAGAGACGGUACCUAACCAGAAAGCCACGGCUAACUACGUG